CAUAUUCCACCAUCAGACUGGAAGAACUCAAAGGAGCUGACAGAGUCAUCUAGAUCAGUAGAAAUCUUGCUGUUUCAAACCUUCCUAAGAUGAAGACCUUCAGCGUUGCAGUUGCAGUGGCCAUUAUGCUCACCUUCAUUUGCAUUCAAGAGAACUCUGCUGUCCCAGUCGUUGGAGUGCAGGAAAUAGAGGAGAUGAUGAGCCAUGACAGUCCAGUUCCAGACUCGGGGAAGGUGCUGCCCAGGCAGAAGCGGGCAUACUGUUUCCGUUGCUGUGACAGCGGCGUCUGCAGAACGUGCUGUUAUGCAUGAAGUUAAACUACUCGAAUUAUUGGAGAUACUACAGUGCAUUAUCACAAUAAAUGUCAAUAUCCCUGUAA